AUGUGCACCAAGCUGUCGCUAUAUAGCAUCCGGCCAUUAGUUUCAACCAAAACCAGCCUUCCAACAAUCGCUGAAACCGUACUCGUCUAUCUAUACAUGGAGAAGUGCACGAUGCGCGUCCAGGCAAUAUUGUUCCUUCUCGUAUGCUUUGCUAUCUAUUCACAAUGUCGAGGAAUAGGCGUGCAACCUGACUCCCAACACGGAUGCUAUGGUUCUGCAACGUGCUAUAGCUGCCGCCCCUAUGAUAUGUGCUACCCGACAAUGGAAAUUUGCAAAGCCCACUGCCCACCUCCAGACGCAGCUACCUCCUCCGCAUUUCCUCAUUAG
rnacentral:rRNA from 1 species